rnacentral:rRNA from 1 species
AACGAACGCUGGCGGCAUGCCUAACACAUGCAAGUCGAACGAGACCUUCGGGUCUAGUGGCGCACGGGUGCGUAACGCGUGGGAACCUGCCCUUAGGUUCGGAAUAACUCCCCGAAAGGGGUGCUAAUACCGGAUAAUGUCUUCGGACCAAAGAUUUAUCGCCUUUGGAUCGGCCCGCGUUGGAUUAGCUAGUUGGUAGGGUAAAAGCCUACCAAGGCGACGAUCCAUAGCUGGUCUGAGAGGAUGAUCAGCCACACUGGGACUGAGACACGGCCCAGACUCCUACGGGAGGCAGCAGUGGGGAAUAUUGGACAAUGGGCGAAAGCCUGAUCCAGCAAUGCCGCGUGAGUGAUGAAGGCCUUAGGGUUGUAAAGCUCUUUUACCCGGGAUGAUAAUGACAGUACCGGGAGAAUAAGCUCCGGCUAACUCCGUG